CCUUGCAUUCAGGCAGUUAUCUGUGCUGACUGUAAAUUUCUGUCAAGAGAUGCUAACUUGAACUUCCGUGGCAAUUUACAGGGUCGAUUACUGCCAAAAAUCCCACUGUUCAUGCAGUGUCAUGUGUUCUACAGUAUAUGUGUCCAUUUGUGGUGCAUACUCUCCCUGCAAAGAUCUCAUUUGAUGUAGUCAUUGUGGUCAAAUCUGGCCAAUGUUGACAUUUGUUCAUUUCCUGUGAGACAUUUCUGAGCGGAGGCCCCACUGGCCCAGCACCAGACAGGUUCCUCAUUCUGCUCGCAGUCGGUUCAUCUCUUUGUCUCUUUGAUGUCAGAGUCUCUGUAAUAAUGUGUGAUUAGUUUCUGGAGAGUGUUUCCACCAGUACUGUUUAUACAGCUGCUUUACUUAAAAUGACCCAGACAAUGAACUCUCAGGGCAGUCCUUUACAUAGGUUGAUAUAAAAUAUCUUUUUCUAUUUCAGAGAUGACGUUGCAUCCAGCUCCACGUUUACCUUGGAGGACAGCGCUAUCUGCCUCACUUCAGAGCAGAGCACCAUGGAUGUGGACAUAGACCGCGAUGACGGAUCCGUUCUUGAUGUCUACUUGUGAAAAGUGCUUUACAACCUUCAUUUCCUCCUGCCAAUCAUAAGACAAUCUCUGCGCCCUACUGGACAGGCCGCAGUGGCCUUUGACUCCACUUUCAGUGCUGCUAGAUCCAUGGUGCCACUUGUAUUGCCAACACAUAAAAAGACUGAGAUUUUCCACCGGUUGAUAGACUAAACACCAAUAGAGUCACAGUGAAGGACUUCUGCAGGAACCAUGUGGUAUAUAUCAUAUAAUGUGACAGACAUCAGGCUGAACAGAGUGUCGCUUUUUAGAGCAUGAGUCAACGCAGUGCCAUUAAGUUUUAUAUAUGUAUACUGUUUUCAUGGCCAACACAAAAAUCUGAAUAUUUACUAUAUAUACUUAGGAGGAGAGGGUAGAUGAAUUUCUUUAAAUGUUUUUUUCUUCUGACCAGAAAGAAAUGAAGGAGCCUUUCAAAGUUUUGCGACUACAUGAGUUACUCAUCAGAAGAAAAACGUUUACAGUGAAUUUAUGACGGCAUCUUUGUCCCUGAUGAACAGGGAUGUGAUGGUGUAACACAAAGGACACGAGCCAGAUUGUAGCCACAGCCACUGCGGAUGAGAAAAGACUCAUAUGAGUAGACAUGAUGGAUUCUGAAGCGCCCGAGGACAAACACAGACUGUGAUGUGGUUAAAGUGGCCACCUAAUCCUAACUGGGCUGCUAUUUGCGCAGCCCUGACUGACAGGAAGCUGAAGUGCUGCUGACGAGCUGCUGCAAAGCGAAGUAAGAAAAGACGGUUACUGGAUCUUGGAUGAAUCACAGAGCGAAGAGACGACGUGCUUGCUCAUGAUCAAAAGGCACUUUUGACAUUGUUUAUGAUUACUGUAAGAAAUAUUUUCCUCUGAAGACGUUGCUUAGGUGAAUGGGCGACCCGACAUAAGCACAGAUUUGGAUAUGUGAAUAUGCACUUUUUUUUUUUUCCCUCUUUUUGGUCUACAGGUGCACACCUCUGUAAGUCAUUGAUACUAUAUGUACAGAGACAGUGAAGGAACAUUGUAGAUCAUUUCUGAUGUGGAGCUAAAAGUUUGUGAGGUUUGCGUCAUGACUGAAGAUGCUUUUACUCAGGAUAUCCUUUGAUACUGAAUAAGUGUGUCCUCUUCAAGAAGUUAUGAGACAUGCAUCCUACACUUAGAAGCUGUCCGAUACCUCUUCAACAAGACCAUAUCCAACUAUAAAUGUUGAAAUUCAUGAUCACGUGUUGGUUGAGACCAUAAUUUAUUAUGUAAAUCUCAAUAUUUUACCAUUUGCUGAAAAAUACUUUAAUCGCUGAAUGUAAAGACAAUGCAUAUUUAUAUUUAGAAGAGACUAUAAAUAAACUGCUGAAAUUUAA